CCUACGGGAGGCAGCAGUGGGGAAUAUUGGACAAUGGGGGCAACCCUGAUCCAGCCAUGCCGCGUGAGUGAUGAAGGCCCUAGGGUUGUAAAGCUCUUUCACCGGUGAAGAUAAUGACGGUAACCGGAGAAGAAGCCCCGGCUAACUCCGUGCCAGCAGCCGCGGUAAU
rnacentral:rRNA from 1 species